rnacentral:lncRNA from 1 species
AAUGUGUGUGUACUUUGUUCGCACGUAAGAAGUUAUACUUCUAUUAUGAUUUCAACGAAAUUAAUAUACUUAACAGGGUAUUUGUAUUCUAUUUAAAUAUUAAACUAACUUUCUUUACCUACCACUUUUAAAAGAUUUUUAUUAAAACGAUACCAAAAAUAUAAAAAAAA